CUCCUGCAGGAAAGUACAUCAGCCAGGGGGCAGUGUCAGAGACGCAGCACUGGGAGAGGAGGACAUCGUCAGGCUGGCCCAGGACCAGGAGGAGAUGAAGGCUUUUAUCCUAGAUCACCACUGGAUUGCUGACAGAUAGAGGAGGUGGGACCCUGACUAUCACCCCUAAUCUGCAGUGGAUUUGGCUCUCGGCACUCCCAGGCUGGGAGCUGGAUACCUGCCCUGGCAGCAUGGCUCAGACUGCAUGACAGAGAACGUGGCCAGUGGAGACGGCACACUGGAAAUCAGAGUGAAUGUUCUUGAAAGAGGGUCACGGGUCAACAAGGCCCAGCCAAAGGAUGCAGUAGAACCAUUUUCCUUAGAAAUCUUUGGGAGUGAAGUAGGCUUCAGCCACUCCCAUCCCUGCCCUUGCGGCUACCACUACCCCAUUAGUUUAGACAGGGUCGGGCGGGGAGGGGUGUGGAGAAGAAAUGAGCUUGCCUGUGGCCCCCAGGCUCCCUCUGUCCUAGCUCAGGUCUGGGUGCCAUUCUUUACACUCGUGUGCUCGCUCACGCACACAUCACACACCUUGCUGGUCAC
rnacentral:lncRNA from 1 species